rnacentral:rRNA from 1 species
UACGUAGGGGGCAAGCGUUGUCCGGAAUCACUGGGCGUAAAGCGCGUGUAGGCGGCUCGAUAAGUCUGCUGUGAAAGUUCAGGGCUCAACCCUGAAAUGCCGGUGGAAACUGUCGAGCUAGAGUCCGGAAGAGGCGAGUGGAAUUCCUGGUGUAGCGGUGAAAUGCGCAGAUAUCAGGAGGAACACCAAUGGCGAAGGCAGCUCGCUGGGACGGUACUGACGCUGAGACGCGAAAGCGUGGGGAGCGAACAGG